AAACAAUGGAAUGUAGAAAGCAGCAGUAAACUCAAACACUGAAAAUCAACAUUAGCAAUAAAGAUUUGAUAGUUGCAGGUACAAAUUUUACCGAGAUAUGGAAAAAUUCAUUUAUUGAUAGUUACCAUAAAACAAGUAAAUUGCUUCAUGUGAGUCCCAAAAACGAUAAUUAUCCCCUCCAACGACAAAAAAGCACACCAAAUUGGCGAAGUGGAAAAGGGACA
rnacentral:misc_RNA from 1 species